AGACCCGAAACCCGGUGAUCUAGCCAUGGGCAGGUUGAAGGUUGGGUAACACUAACUGGAGGACCGAACCGACUAAUGUUGAAAAAUUAGCGGAUGACUUGUGGCUGGGGGUGAAAGGCCAAUCAAACCGGGAGAUAGCUGGUUCUCCCCGAAAGCUAUUUAGGUAGCGCCUCGUGAAUUCAUCUCCGGGGGUAGAGCACUGUUUCGGCAAGGGGGUCAUCCCGACUUACCAACCCGAUGCAAACUGCGAAUACCGGAGAAUGUUAUCACGGGAGACACACGGCGGGUGCUAACGUCCGUCGUGAAGAGGGAAACAACCCAGACCGCCAGCUAAGGUCCCAAAGUCAUGGUUAAGUGGGAAACGAUGUGGGAAGGCCCAGACAGCCAGGAUGUUGGCUUAGAAGCAGCCAUCAUUUAAAGAAAGCGUAAUAGCUCACUGGUCGAGUCGGCCUGCGCGGAAGAUGUAACGGGGCUAAACCAUGCACCGAAGCUGCGGCAGCGACACUGUGUGUUGUUGGGUAGGGGAGCGUUCUGUAAGCCUGUGAAGGUGUGCUGUGAGGCAUGCUGGAGGUAUCAGAAGUGCGAAUGCUGACAUAAGUAACGAUAAAGCGGGUGAAAAGCCCGCUCGCCGGAAGACCAAGGGUUCCUGUCCAACGUUAAU
rnacentral:rRNA from 1 species